rnacentral:tRNA from 1 species
CAAAGAAUAGUUUAAAUAAAAUAAUAAUUUUGGAGAUUAUUGAUAAAAUUUUUUUUUUCUUUGAA